CAGCUUCUUCAGCAAAAAGAUAGAAUAGUGAGAGUACUAUACCCCCAAACAUAAUAAAUUUGUCAUGGAUCUUCACUUAAAUUUAAAUUUUGUAAAAUCUAAAUGCUUCUAUCCUUAAUUGAUCAUCUCGAGCCAUCAAUUUUAUUCAGACAAAAACAAUUCACCAACAUUUUGAUGCAUUAAUAGUCUCAACAACAGCUAUUUACAUUAAUACAAAGCUUCAUCCAAUGGAUUAACUCAUUUAGAAGAACCAUUAGAUUAAUCGACAUACACACUAAUCCAAUCCUACUAUUUCUCCACCAGGAACUAAAGUUUGAGAACCAAAUCGAUAAAGUUUGAUUCUCUCCAAACUACAAAUCGAUCAAGAGAAACACUUUUGUCGCGCUCUUAUCUCUCUUUUUUUUCUUUUACGACCUUACUUGAACAUGAUCCGAGCCCUCUCUUCUCUUCUCUUCUCUCCUUACCACAGUUUCGCAAAAGUCGAAAACAUUAGCAUGGUAUAAGACACUAUCCUUUACAAUUUCCGCCCCGCGAUCCAACUCUUCAAGCCUCGUAGCUCGCUUCCGAUGCAUAACCGCUCGGCGGCGGAGUUACAGGGGCGGAUUCGCCGUAUUCGCCCUCCUGGAGCUUCUCUCUUUUCUUCGAUCCUAACGACGUAACCGAUCGAACGAGACCGCCGAUUAUCUUAGCCUUGAUUUGUCCCCUCUUUGGCAGGGGCCUUCCUUUCCUCUGAUCUCUCCAAUCUCCGUACUCCAUCGACGAGAAUUUGUAAGAAGACAUGUUAUAAAGAGUAGAUCUAGUGAUGUGAAGAGAAUUGUUUGAAGAGCACAUAGAGUGAUACUGCAUAUAUAUAUAUAUAUAUAUAGUGGAUUAUUAGAUGAUCAAAUAGUGUUUGCUUGUGGUGCAAGAAUCCUAGUGUUAGGUCAAGGUGUAUUUAGUGGAGAAUCUUUCAAUAAAAACUAUAGUGGUUAAUUACUUUAUUUUCCUUUUUCAUUUUUCACUUUUUUUCUUUUGUGAAGUAACCGAUUAGUUAAUCAUUG
rnacentral:lncRNA from 1 species